GCUGGGCGCGUGGCACACGCCUGUAAUCCCAGUAACUCUGGAGGCUGAGGCAGGAGGAUCACAAGUUCAAAGAUAGUUUUAGCGAGGCCCUGAGCAACUUAGUGAGACACUGUCUCUA
rnacentral:sRNA from 1 species